GGUGAACGCUGGCGGCGUGCCUAAUACAUGCAAGUCGAGCGACAAGAUAAGGAGAUUGUUCUCUUGCCGUUAGCGACGGACGGAUGAGUAACAAGUAGAUCACCUACUUAUUUGUCUGGGAUAACUUCGGGGAACCGCAGACAAUACUGGCUCAUACAACCUACGGCUUGAUUCAAUAGUGCUUGACGGUUUUGCUGUUACUAUUAGCCGGUUUCGCGCCGCAUUAGCUAGUUGGUAAGGUAACGGCUUACCAAGGCGACGAUGCGUAGCUGACCUGAGAGGAUGAUCAGCCACACUGGAACUGAGACACGGUCCAGACUCCUACGGGAGGCAGCAGUGGGGAAUAUUGGACAAUGGGCGAAAGCUUGACGGAGCAAUACCGCGUGGGUGAAGAAGGUCUUCGGAUUGUAAAGCCCUGUUGUUGGGAAAGAAAAAAAGUAGGAUAAACCAUGGACGUCUUGACGGUACCUAAAGAGUAAGCCACGGCUAACUUCGUG
rnacentral:rRNA from 1 species